CCUACGGGAGGCUGCAGUGGGGAAUAUUGGACAAUGGGGGCAACCCUGAUCCAGCCAUGCCGCGUGUGUGAAGAAGGCCCUCGGGUUGUAAAGCACUUUCAGUGAGGAAGAACGCCUGGUGGUUAAUACCCAUCAGGAAAGACAUCACUCACAGAAGAAGCACCGGCUAACUCCGUGCCAGCAGCCGCGGUAAUACGGAGGGUGCGAGCGUUAAUCGGAAUUACUGGGCGUAAAGCGCGCGUAGGUGGCUUGAUAAGCCGGUUGUGAAAGCCCCGGGCUCAACCUGGGAACGGCAUCCGGAACUGUCAAGCUGGAGUGCAGGAGAGGAAGGUAGAAUUCCCGGUGUAGCGGUGAAAUGCGUAGAGAUCGGGAGGAAUACCAGUGGCGAAGGCGGCCUUCUGGACUGACACUGACACUGAGGUGCGAAAGCGUGGGUAGCAAACAGGAUUAGAUACCCCUGUAGUC
rnacentral:rRNA from 1 species